GGGAGCGUCCCGGCGCCUGGUGGGCCGCACGGUCUUCAAAACCGCUGAAAGACCAUACCCAUGGUCUUUGGUGGGUUCGAUUCCCAUCCGCUCCCG
rnacentral:tRNA from 1 species